GAUGAACGCUGGCGGCGUGCUUAACACAUGCAAGUCGAACGGGAAACCUUUUAUUGAAGCUUCGGCAGAUUUAGCUGGUUUCUAGUGGCGGACGGGGGAGUAACGCGUGGGUAACCUGCCUUAUACAGGGGGAUAACAGUCAGAAAUGGCUGCUAAUACCGCAUAAGCGCACAGAGCUGCAUGGCUCAGUGUGAAAAACUCCGGUGGAAUAAGAUGGACCCGCGUUGGAUUAGCUGGAUGGUGGGGUAACGGCCCACCAAGGCGACGAUCCAUAGCCGGGCUGAGAGGGUGAACGGCCACAUUGGGACUGAGACACGGUCCAGACUCCUACGGGAGGCAGCAGUGGGGAAUAUUGCACAAUGGGGGAAACCCUGAUGCAGCGACGCCGCGUGAAGGAAGAAGUAUCUCGGUAUGUAAACUUCUAUCAGCAGGGAAGAUAAUGACGGUACCUGACUAAGAAGCCCCGGCUAACUACGUG
rnacentral:rRNA from 1 species